rnacentral:lncRNA from 1 species
GGCCGGCCUCGGGGUUGAGGCUCAGCUCGGGAUAAGUGAUCUUUGGGGCCCGCAGAGGACGUCUCCCCAAGACCCAGUGGCAACCGGCUGGAACCCAAGGCUUCGGAAGAUGAGUCAGCAGCCCCAGUGGCAAAUAGGACCCAGUGGAUCCAGCCCUGCCUUGUCAAGUUCUGAAUGUUCUGGGAGGCACCAGCGUUUCUAUCUCCUGUGCCACUUCACAGAUGGCACAACAAAGCCAAGACUCCCUAAGUCAUAUUAUCAAAGUUGCUCUCUCAAGACCUUUAGUUAUGCAAGCUUCAAGGUCCUGCCCCUAUUCCUGAACCCCUGCUGCAUUUGUCUGGAUCAGCCCUCCAAGCAGUA